rnacentral:tRNA from 1 species
CGCGGGGUAGAGGAACGGUACCUCGGGGGGCUCAUAAUCCCCAGGAGCGGGUUCAAUUCCCGCCCCCGCAACAA